rnacentral:lncRNA from 1 species
GCACAACCUCUAAUCCUCAAUAUCAUUACAUUACAUAACUAUUCAUAACUUUACAAUUUCAUCAUGUCCACAUUCUAUCUAUUACAUACAGACGACUUCAAUACUCUUGCGGACCUCCUGGUCUACCCUGUACCUGCAUACCUGGGGUUAAGGGAAAAGGGGUGAGCUAUAAAGCCCAGUGAGCAGAAUAAUAAAACAUUUAAACAUAUGAUAACAUGAAAUGCAUCACAUCACAACUAAUCAUAUCAAGGAUGAAC